AGCCUACAGGAAGACUGGUUUGUCAUGUUGUGCUGUUAACACAGGCUUGCAAGGCAGCCCAUCAGCUGUCCCUGUUCUGCUGGUGCUGUUAUAAGGAAGAGCUGCCAGAGAAGACACCCAGCUUCUGUGCUUUUUAUUGAGUCCUUGGGAAUAACAAGCAUGGUGUGUUCAGCGGUGCCAGAGAAGACUGUGGGAAUGGGAAACUCGAUGGAUCUGGGGGCAGGAAGAAUGUGAAGCUGCUGGAUUUUCUGGGAAAGUGUGCAUGAAAUCAAUGGGCUGUUGUGGGGGAAAGAAGGAAGAAUUUCUAAUUCAUAUAUUUGUUCUCUGAUAGGGAAAUAUAAUACUGGUAGAUUUGCUUUUGAGAGAGAGAAGGAAAACAAAACAAAACAAAACUAUUUGAGAAGAAGGUUACUUGCAUGACCAGAAAAUGACUGAGGGAACCCCAUUUAAAAGGACUGGAUACAUAAGCCUGAACUAAUGAACUAGGAACUGCUGUUGCAACAAUGCAAAGAAUUUCUGAAGGAAAGGCAGAGGGAACCUUGGAAAACCAACAAGAUGAUGGGCCCUGGGACCACCAGAGACCUGAGUUGGAGGACCAUGACUGUAGUAAUGAUAAUCUCCCAGCCAGGUCUGAGACUGUGGGGAAUUUACUGCUCUAGCUGGAUGCAUAAAUGGAUGAACAUCUGCCUGAUGGAGGAAAACAAUAAUCUACUUCCUGGCCUGCUUGAAUUAUUGGGUGGAAGAGAAGUUAACUCCCUCUCCAAGUUCCAUGCAGG